AAAUGAAUUGACGGGGGCCCGCACAAGCAGUGGAGUAUGUGGUUUAAUUCGACGCAACGCGAAGAACCUUACCAGGUCUUGACAUCCAACUAACGAAGUAGAGAUACAUCAGGUGCCCUUCGGGGAAAGUUGAGACAGGUGGUGCAUGGUUGUCGUCAGCUCGUGUCGUGAGAUGUUGGGUUAAGUCCCGCAACGAGCGCAACCCUUGUUUUUAGUUGCUACGUAAGAGCACUCUAAAGAGACUGCCGUUGACAAAACGGAGGAAGGUGGGGACGACGUCAAAUCAUCAUGCCCUUUAUGACCUGGGCUACACACGUACUACAAUGGCCGUUAACAGAGGGAAGCAAAACCGCGAGGUGGAGCAAAACCCUAAAAACGGUCCCAGUUCAGAUUGUAGGCUGCAACUCGCCUAUAUGAAGUUGGAAUUGCUAGUAAUCGCGGAUCAGCAUGCCGCGGUGAAUACGUUCCCGGGCCUUGUACACACCGCCCGU
rnacentral:rRNA from 1 species